UACGAAGGGUGCAAACGUUGCUCGGAAUCAUUGGGCGUAAAGCGCACGUAGGCGGCCCGAUAAGUCGGAUGUGAAAUCCCUCGGCUCAACCGAGGACGUGCAUUCGAAACUGUCGGGCUCGAGUAUGGAAGAGGGUCGCGGAAUUCCUGGUGUAGAGGUGAAAUUCGUAGAUAUCGGGAGGAACACCAGUGGCGAAGGCGGCGACCUGGGCCAAUACUGACGCUGAGGUGCGAAAGCGUGGGUAGCAAACAGG
rnacentral:rRNA from 1 species